ACUGGAAUGGGGCUACUUGAAGAAGAAAAGCGUCAAAAUAAGUCGAAACUCGGUGAGACCGGGCAAAAUUGGUGUUUCUUAGUCUUUGCCCUAUUCUCGUUACACGACAACGAACAAAGAGGGGCAGCUGUAAAGCCCAUAUUUUGCCUGGGGCCCAAAACCAAGUAAACAAAAUAACAACAGUCCAUCAAACCUAAUAAAACAGUCUAAUUACAUUACAAAAAAUGGCCCAAACCCAAUUAGCCCAAUACCUAAAAAUAGAAAAAACAAAAGAAAACCCUAGCCGCCGCACCUAGCCCCUGACAGCCCCUGCCACCGCCAACUACUCUGCUGCCGUCGCACCAACUCCACUUGUCACCGCCCACUUGCACCUGCAAAAUCAAAACAGAAAAGACAGCAAAC
rnacentral:lncRNA from 1 species